AAGAAGGUGGCAGAUAAGUAUGUAUUUAACUUGAAAUUAAACUAUGGGGGUUCGAUUCCUCCCUUUCUUG
rnacentral:tRNA from 1 species